ensembl:lncRNA novel transcript
CAACCUGUGUCAAAGUUUAGGUGGAGAAAAAGUAGCUGUGGGAGCAGAUCUCAGAGGAUUAUUAUGCUUGAUGCUGCUGUUAGAGAUAUUUGCUGUCUUACAGGCAAAGGAGAGAUUGUGGAAAAAGAAUGGGAUAGAGGUCUCUAACCCAGGCUGGAGUUCAUUGGCACAAUCUCAGCUCAUUACAGCCUUGACCUCCUGGACUCAAGCCAUCCUCCCACCUCGGCCUCCCAAGUAGCUGAAACCACAGCUCACAAUUCUCUGAUGGGCUUGCCUACUCAUUUAGCCCUUCAUGAAGUCCCUGAGCUGCCUUUUUCAUCUGGAGUCUCCAUGCACAACGGUGAAAAGUGCAUCUUUUAUCUCACCUGAGACAGUGUCUUGCUGUAUCACAAAGCCAGAUCCAGUGCUGGGAUCACAGCUUGUUGCAGCCUCCAACUCCUGGGCUCAUGGAAUCCUCUUGCCUCAGCUUCCCUAGCAGCUGGAACUACAGAUCUAUUCCAUCCGUCCAUCAAGCAUGGAGUUUACACAAACACACACUCACACGUGUGUAUACGUAUGGGAAUCCAAAUUCUCAUAAAUUCUUGUUCCUGGUAAAUAGCCAUCUAGCAAGUCCUGAUCCUGAUUCUCAGCCUCUAUUAAGGUCCAGAUCAGCAACUAUCCUCAUGGAAAAAUGUUUUGGAAUAUUUCUGAGAAGGCUCAAGAUUUUGUUCUCAUCAAUUCAACUUCAAGGGAGAGGGAAGAGGAGUAGCCUGUUAGGAAAAGCAAAUUCUUAGAGCAAGACAUGAACACAUCUCUUUCAGAAACGCGAUUUUACUUGCUCUAAUGAAGAAAUGGUGGUGACAAUUCUAGAAAAGAAAAUGCCAAAGAUGGAAAACCUUUAAAAUAUAACUUAAAGGUGAAGAAGACCACCUGGACCGGCCACCAUGCAAGAUCAAAGAAAAGGCCCAAAAUAUGGCAAAAGUCUCCAUUUCCAUUUGCUGCCAUCCUGAAAAAUCUUAUAAAUGACUGAUCAAUAAGUGAUUCAAACAUCACAAUUAAAAGAACUAGAAAAGCAAGAGCAAACACAUUCAAAAGCUAGCAGAAGGCAAGAAAUAACUAAAAUCAGAGCAGAACUGAAGGAAAUAGAGACACGGAAAACCCUUGAAAAAAUUAAUGAAUCCAGGAGCUCGUUUUUUGAAAGGAUCAA